UGCAGUCGAGCGCCCCGCAAGGGGAGCGGCAGACGGGUGAGUAACGCGUGGGAAUCUACCCAUCUCUACGGAAUAACUCAGGGAAACUUGUGCUAAUACCGUAUACGCCCUUCGGGGGAAAGAUUUAUCGGAGAUGGAUGAGCCCGCGUUGGAUUAGCUAGUUGGUGGGGUAAUGGCCUACCAAGGCGACGAUCCAUAGCUGGUCUGAGAGGAUGAUCAGCCACACUGGGACUGAGACACGGCCCAGACUCCUACGGGAGGCAGCAGUGGGGAAUAUUGGACAAUGGGCGCAAGCCUGAUCCAGCCAUGCCGCGUGAGUGAUGAAGGCCCUAGGGUUGUAAAGCUCUUUCACCGGUGAAGAUAAUGACGGUAACCGGAGAAGAAGCCCCGGCUAACUUCGUGCCAGCAGCCGCGGUAAUACGAAGGGGGCUAGCGUUGUUCGGAAUUACUGGGCGUAAAGCGCACGUAGGCGGAUUGUUAAGUUAGGGGUGAAAUCCCAGGGCUCAACCCUGGAACUGCCUCUAAUACUGGCAAUCUCGAGUCC
rnacentral:rRNA from 1 species